rnacentral:rRNA from 1 species
UGCAUGGGCGAAGCCUGAUGCAGCGACGCCACGUGAGGGAUGACGGCCUUCGGGUUGUAAACCUCUUUCAGCAGGGAAGAAGCGAAAGUGACGGUACCUGCAGAAGAAGCGCCGGCUAACUACGUGCCAGCAGCCGCGGUAAUACGUAGGGCGCAAGCGUUGUCCGGAAUUAUUGGGCGUAAAGAGCUCGUAGGCGGUCUGUCGCGUCUGGUGUGAAAUCCCAUGGCUCAACUGUGGGCUUGCAUCGGGUACGGGCAGACUAGAGUGCUGUAGGGGAGACUGGAAUUCCUGGUGUAGCGGUGGAAUGCGCAAAUAUCAGGAGGAACACCGAUGGCGAAGGCAGGUCUCUGGGCAGUUACUGACGCUGAGGAGCGAAAGCAUGGGGAGCGAACAGGAUUAGAUACCCUGGUAGUCCAUGCCGUAAACGUUGGGCACUAGGUGUGGGGCGGGUUCCACUCGUUCUGUGCCGCAGCUAACGCAUUAAGUGCCCCGCCUGGGGAGUACGGCCGCAAGGCUAAAACUCAAAUGAAAUUGACGGA